rnacentral:rRNA from 1 species
GAUCAUGGCUCAGGACGAACGCUGGCGGCGCGCCUAACACAUGCAAGUCGAACGAGCGAGAGAGAGCUUGCUUUCUCGAGCGAGUGGCGAACGGGUGAGUAACGCGUGAGGAACCUGCCUCAAAGAGGGGGACAACAGUUGGAAACGACUGCUAAUACCGCAUAAGCCCACGACCCGGCAUCGGGUAGAGGGAAAAGGAGCAAUCCGCUUUGAGAUGGCCUCGCGUCCGAUUAGCUUAG